UAGAAAUGGCGAUGCAUGUGA
rnacentral:siRNA from 1 species